rnacentral:rRNA from 1 species
UGAUGACGAGACGCUAAGGCGUUGAAGCAGUGUAUGUCAGACUUCCAAGAAAAGCUCGCAAUGUCACAAAUAAAAGAUGCCUGUACCAUAACCGACACAGGUGGGUAGGUAGAGUAUACUAAGGGGCGCGAGAUAACUCUCUCUAAGGAACUCGGCAAAAUGACUCCGUAACUUCGGGAGAAGGAGUGCCUUAUUUAUAAGGUUGCAAUAACAAGAUCCAAGCAACUGUUUAUCAAAAACACAGGUCUCCGCUAAGUCGUAAGACGAUGUAUGGGGGCUGACGCCUGCCCAGUGCCAGAAGGUUAAAGAAGUUGGUUAGUGUAUGCGAAGCUGAUGACUGAAGCCCUGGUGAACGGCGGCCGUAACAAUAACGGUCCUAAGGUAGCGAAAUUCCUUGUCGGGUAAGUUCCGACCCGCACGAAAGGCGUAAUGAUUUGGAUACUGUCUCGGAGAGAGGCUCGGUGAAAUAGACUUGUCUGUGAAGAUGCGGACUACCUGCACCAGGACAGAAAGACCCUAUGAAGCUUUACUGUAACUUGAAAUUGGAAUUGGACUUUGCUUGCGCAGUAUAGGUGGGAAGCGUUGAAAAUAUUCUUGCGGGAGUAUUGGAGCUAUCAGUGAGAUACCACUCUUGUAAUGUUAGAUUUCUAACUUUGAACCAUAAUCUGGUCAAAGAACAGUUUCAGGUGGGCAGUUUGACUGGGGCGGUCGCCUCCCAAAUGGUAACGGAGGCGUACAAAGGUUUCCUCUGAACGGAUAGAAAUCGUAUCUAGAGUGUAAAGGCAUAAGGAAGCUUGACUGUGAGACCUACAAGUCGAGCAGGGACGAAAGUCGGUCUUAGUGAUCUGACGGUACUGAGUGGAAAGGCCGUCACUCAACGGAUAAAAGUUACUCUAAGGAUAACAGGCUGAUCUCCCCCAAGAGUUCACAUCGACGGGGAGGUUUGGCACCUCGAUGUCGGCUCAUCGCAUCCUGGGGCGGUAGUACGUCCCAAGGGUUGGGCUGUUCGCCCAUGAAAGCGGUACGCGAGCUGGGUUCAGAACGUCGUGAGACAGUUCGGUCCAUAUCCGGUGUAGGCGCUAGAAUAUUGAGAGGAGCCUUCUUUAGUACGAGAGGACCGAGAAGGACACACCGCUGGUGUACCAGUUAUCGUGCCAACGGUAAACGCUGGGUAGCUAUGUGUGGAGUGGAUAACCGCUGAAAGCAUCUAAGUGGGAAGCCCACCUCGAGAUGAGUAUUCUC